UACGUAGGGUGCAAGCGUUGUCCGGAAUCAUUGGGCGUAAAGCGUCCGCAGGUGGCAGUUCAAGUCUGCUGUCAAAGACCGGGGCUUAACUUCGGAAAGGCAGUGGAAACUGAACAGCUAGAGUAUGGUAGGGGCAGAGGGAAUUCCUGGUGUAGCGGUGAAAUGCGCAGAUAUCAGGAAGAACACCCGUGGCUAAGGCGGCUCUCUAGUACGGUACUGACGCUGAGACGCGAAAGCGUGGGGAGCGAACAGG
rnacentral:rRNA from 1 species